rnacentral:rRNA from 1 species
GAUGAACGCUGGCGGCGUGCCUAAUACAUGCAAGUCGAGCGAACAGAUAAGGAGCUUGCUCCUUAGAAGUAAGCGGCGGACGGGUGAGUAACACGUGGGUAACCUACCUAUAAGACUGGGAUAACUUCGGGAAACCGGAGCUAAUACCGGAUAACAAUUAGAACCGCAUGGUUCUAAAGUGAAAGAUGGUUUUGCUAUCACUUAUAGAUGGACCCGCGCCGUAUUAGCUAGUUGGUAAGGUAACGGCUUACCAAGGCGACGAUACGUAGCCGACCUGAGAGAGUGAUCGGCCACACUGGAACUGAGACACGGUCCAUACUCCUACGGGAGGCAGCAGUAGGGAAUCAUCCGCAACGGGCGAGAGCCUGACGGAGCAACGCCGCGUGAGUGAUGAAGGGUUUCGGCUCGUAAAACUCUGUUAUUAGGGAAGAACAAAUGUGUAAGUAACUGUGCACAUCUUGACGGUACCUAAUCAGAAAGCCACGGCUAACUACGUG